AUCCCAUGGUGUGGACAUCUCCUUUUGUAAAUCUUUGUAUCUCUCCCAUGCUGCAUGCAAGUUCUCAUCAUCUCUAGGUUUGAAAGAAGUCAACUCAUUUUUUAGCUU